rnacentral:rRNA from 1 species
CCUACGGGGGGCAGCAGUGAGGAAUAUUGGUCAAUGGACGAGAGUCUGAACCAGCCAAGUAGCGUGAAGGAUGACUGCCCUAUGGGUUGUAAACUUCUUUUAUAUGGGAAUAAAAUGUUCCACGUGUGGGAUUUUGUAUGUACCAUAUGAAUAAGGAUCGGCUAACUCCGUGCCAGCAGCCGCGGUAAUACGGAGGAUCCGAGCGUUAUCCGGAUUUAUUGGGUUUAAAGGGAGCGUAGGUGAAUUGUUAAGUCAGUUGUGAAAGUUUGCGGCUCAACCGUAAAAUUGCAGUUGAAACUGGCAGUCUUGAGUACAGUAGAGGUGGGCGGAAUUCGUGGUGUAGCGGUGAAAUGCUUAGAUAUCACGAAGAACUCCGAUUGCGAAGGCAGUUCACUGGACUGCAACUGACACUGAGGCUCGAAAGUGUGGGUAUCAAACAGGAUUAGAUACCCGAGUAGUC